ACCAUUUUACAAACCUGGUAAAAUAAAUGUAGUUGCAGACGCCCUUUCAAAAAUACCGAUAAAAAUAAACUCACUCACACCUACGAUUCAUAACGAUGAAAGCUCAAAUCAUAACUUCAUCCCUUGUACAGAAAUUCCAAUUAAUAUUUUCAAAAAUUCAUUUUUUCGAGCUUGACCAAGUAUCUUCAUAUCAAUUUAACCCUUGUGUUGCCACCCAAAAAAAAGCACACUGUCUGCCGCCCAGGGUACCCGGGUACCCGUACGCAAAUUCGUGCGUAUAAGUGCGUUAUACGUAAAAAUAAUUGAGUGCAUUCAAUCAGGAUCUAUUUAUUGACAUCUAAGAAAGGUAUUUCUACUUGAAUGUACCAUAUAAAUUAUGAACAGACACCCUCAUAGUCCUAAAUCAAGAAUAAAACGCGCGCUGCUCUAACGUAAAUUUCUCGUUUUUGCGAAGGUCAGUUGCGUGGAAUUCGAGUGGUGGGGAAACAGGUCGCUCUCUGAAUUGCUUUGUACCUCAGGAACGUUCAAGAAUUCCGUGAAACGAAUAUAAGCUGUAUAGUUAAGUUUCCAUCGUUGACUCACGUUUUUAAUUUUAUCAAAAAUUGAUUACGAAAAAUAUGAAUAAAAUAAAAUAAAAAGAAAAGCAAAACUGCAAUACUUCUUAGUACUUUGCACUAUGAUUAUGAAAUUUCUGAUGCAGCUCACAAAAAACCAGAAAUGAUUUUGUUUUAUAAUCAAACAAAAGCUGGCGUUGACACCAUGGAUCAAAUGUGUUCGAGCUACUCCACCCAACGGUGAACGUGUAGAUGGCCGCUGGCUUUCUUUUUCAACAUCUUCGACAUUGCAGGUGUACCUGCUUAUGUCAUCUACUAUGAGAAUAACAGCAUGCUUUGCAAGAAAACAAACAGACGAAGACUUUUCUUUCGACAAUUGUGAGAAGAAUGAGAAAUGCCGAUGAUCGAAGAACGUGUCCCGAAUCAGCAAAUAAUGCGAAACCACUCUACCAAAAUCCCAGUCGAAAGUUUCUUUGAAGUGCCAAUAGUAGAGGUGGUACCCAGAAAUGACAAACGUCGAGACGCCACUGAGAGGGGAGCAGUUGUUGAAUCUUGUUACAUUUGUAACGAGCACCCUAUUCGCAAACGCCGAAAGAUACGGAAAUCCUGCGUUGAGUGCGAUAAGCCCGUAUGUGAUCAGCUUUCGAUGAACAUUUCUAAAUGUUUACAUUUAAUUAAUUCUUAAAAUUUAGUUAUUUAAAUUUUCUUGUUUAAAUUAUUACUUAUAUUUCACUCUGCAGAAAGCACAAAAAUUCAUUCAUUUUUUGUAACGUCAUGUCGCAAAAUAAAAUUAUUAUUAUUAUAUACAGCAUAUUUUAUCAAUAAAUAAAUAAAAAUGAACAUAAUUUGUUGUAGUUAUCUUAUAGAUACUUAUUUACUCCUUUGAGAUAUAAAAUAAAAUUAUAAUCGUAAUGUAUUAUACGAACUGCGCCGAACUUCUGUCGGGGUACCCGGGUGGCUGAGACGUGUUUUUAUUUUCAAAUGUAACAUUUCUGAAGUUACGAAAAAAUCUAAAGUAUGUACAAUGCACAAUUCGCUAGAUAAUCGAUUAAACCAUGGGGAUCAAAGAUGGUUUUAGCCUAUCUUUUUUAGAAAAAAUAUUAUUCAACAAACUACACUCCGGUGGGUACCCGGGUACCUGGGAGGCAACACAAGGGUUAAGAUAAUUUUUCCAACUGUACAUAGAUGUAUACAUACAGAACCAGAAUACAAUGAACAGUUAUUGAUUUCUUACAUGAAACGACACCUUAAAAUAAAUGGAAUUCAUACAGAAGAAAGGAUAAUGGGCUCUUUCUGCGUCGAUUCAAUGGCGCCAGUGCGAUUUCCAAGCGCUGAAGACGUCACGGAAGGCAUUAUCCGGAAUAGCCUCGAAAGCGGACGAGCAUGCUGCUUGGAACAUCUCUAUCGUAGUGUGCCACUGGUCGAUUGCCUCUUUGUCUCGGAAUCAUACUCAAAGAUCCAUGACUCGUCACCAGUGAUAACGUUAUUCAAAAAUUACUUUCACACAUGUUCAAACUUUCUUGGCACAUUUCAACUUGCCGCAAUUUCUGGUCGUCAGUGAGCACUUUUGGGGCCAUCUUCGCGCCCACCUUGGGCAUGUUCAAGUGCUCCGUCAGAUUUUGAUUUAACAUCUGGGCAAUUAAACGGAUACUUAGUCGACGAGUCACAUUGUCGGUGUUUGUAGAAGUCACAGGUCUCCCAUCACGGUCUUCAUCAACGCCUUCCUGGCCCUACAUAAAAGCCUGGUGCCACCGAAACAUACCACUUCUUGUUAAAGCAACAUCUGGAAUUUAAUCGCGUACCUCUGCUCUAACGAACGCUGCAUUUUCGGUUUGCACUACCCACAGAAACACGUCACACGAAAAUGUUUAUCCUGACUCUCCAGGUGCUCGGAGACAACUGACCAACCUCUCGCUCGUUAGCUAGGAACGCCUCUACCGAAUCCAGAAGAAAAUCAGUCCUAUUACUUUUCAGACAAACCGAGUAUUAGUCCAAUACAUCCAAAAAUUAUGAUAGUUGAAUAUAUUAGUUACGAACAAAAACAAGAGAAUGUCAUACUAAAAGAAAAUCUAAGAGCGUAUAGGAAUGCGUCUAAAAAUAAGUAAAGAAAAUAAAUAUGAGAGACAUCCCAACCAACCGAAAUUUGAAAAAACUCCAUUACCAACAUAUCCAGGACACAUAGUCUAUAUUGAUAUAUUUUUAACAGAAGGAAAAAUAGUUGUGACAGCUUUAUUUAAUUUAAAAAAUACGCAGUAACAAAAACCCUAAAUAGCAGAAAAAUAGAAGACGUCACAAGACCCCUAAGGAAUUUUUCGGGGUACUAAAAUAGUUAUUGACAAUGAGCCAUCUUUAAAUAUAGCCUCUUUAAAAUUUAUGAUGAGAGACGAGUUAGGAAAAAAAACCUACAAACCUCUUCCUUACAAAAACCAAGUUAAUGGACAAGUGGAAAGGUUACACUCUACAUACAAGUAAUCGAAACAAUGCGUUGCAUAAAAAAAACUUUGUACGCAGAAAUUUGGAAGAACUUUUAGAAACAGCAGUGUCUAAAUAUAAAAAUUCAUUUCACCUUCAUUUGAAACACCUGGGCCCGAAUCGCGGCACACGAUAAGGAGCGAAAUUCAAAUAUUUUUUUUUUGUUUUCGGAUCUUUGUACUCGCUAUCGUAUACGCUCUUUCGAAAUUUGAAAUUUCCUCAUUCGAUAACGUGUUCUCAUUUGUACGAAAGAAUCGAAAUCUCGCCCUUUAGCUAUUUGAGAAACGUUAUAGUACAAAUUAAAAAAAAGAGUUUUGAAUAUAUCUGUUAUAAAUAAUCGGAGGUAAAUUUAAGUUAUUUUUCUUUUAUUGAGUUUAUUUAACAUGUAUUAUAAUUAUAACUAAUGAUUUAAGAACAAAUGUAAACAAAAUAAAUAUGCGUCAAAAACAUGUGAUGAGUAAUUUUAUGCUACAGCAUCAGAACUUAGCAAAUAAUAUUUUGCCUAAUUGUGGGCAAGGCAAAGUUGUAUUAAAUAAGCUAUGGGAAGCAUUGACGCUAAAACUUAACUCUGCGGACCACCGAUGAAAGAUGCUAAUUUUUGACGAAAAGUAAGAUCAACACAAGUAAAUAAUAUUAAUUAAAUAAAUAAAAUAAUAGAUUUGCUGAUCAAAAGCACGAUAUAAAAAAGAAAAUUUCUUUCAACAAAGCCUCGAAACAAUAGACUGGUGGUGGUCAGUACGAGGAAAAGCUUUUAACUGUAGCAGAAGAGCAACUCCUCCAAGCUACGGGGAUAAAUGUUGCAGUAGAAGAAAAAAUCUUGAGAAGAGAUCGCUGCAAAUAAAAGAAGAGGUACAUAAAGCAGAUAUGCAAAACAAAGCAGUAGAGUUGCAGAUUAAAAUUCAUGAGCUUGAUAUUUUAAAGAGAAAAGUUCAGAAAUAAACACCAAUAUAUACGAUAUGUUAAUUAUAAGUUCCUGUUUUUAUUGAAAAUAUAUUUAUUAAAAGAAAAUAUGAAUUCAAAUGUUGUUGGAGCGUUUAACUCAAUUAUUAUCAAAAUACAGCGUAAUAUGAUCUCUAGUUUUAUGACCAAUUUACAUAGUUAAUUAAUAUCGGUAUUCUGCUCGAGACGAUUGUCUCAUGUCUCUAAUUGUCACAAUCUUCAUUUAGUGACUCUGUUAGUCA